rnacentral:rRNA from 1 species
GCUUACGGCCACACUAGUUUGAAUGUGCCUGAUCUCGUCUGAUCUCAGAAGCUAAACACAUUUGGGCUCGAUCAGUACUUGAAUAGGAGACCGCCUGGGAUCCUGAGUGCUGUAAGCU